GUGGGGAAUAUUGGACAAUGGGCGAAAGCCUGAUCCAGCCAUGCCGCGUGUGUGAAGAAGGUCUUCGGAUUGUAAAGCACUUUAAGUUGGGAGGAAGGGCAGUAAGUUAAUACCUUGCUGUUUUGACGUUACCAACAGAAUAAGCACCGGCUAACUUCGUGCCAGCAGCCGCGGUAAUACGAAGGGUGCAAGCGUUAAUCGGAAUUACUGGGCGUAAAGCGCGCGUAGGUGGUUCAGCAAGUUGAAGGUGAAAUCCCCGGGCUCAACCUGGGAACUGCCUCCAGAACUACUGAGCUAGAGUACGGUAGAGGGUAGUGGAAUUUCCUGUGUAGCGGUGAAAUGCGUAGAUAUAGGAAGGAACACCAGUGGCGAAGGCGACUACCUGGACUGAUACUGACACUGAGGUGCGAAAGCGUGGGGAGCAAACAGGAUUAGAUACCCGAGUAGUCC
rnacentral:rRNA from 1 species